UACAGAGGUCCCAAGCGUUGUCCGGAUUUAUUGGGCGUAAAGAGCGUGUAGGCGGCCUUACAGGUCAGCUGUGAAAACUCGAGGCUCAACCUCGAGACGUCGGUUGAAACCGUAUGGCUAGAGUCCGGAAGAGGAGAGUGGAAUUCCCGGUGUAGCGGUGAAAUGCGCAGAUAUCGGGAAGAACACCCGUGGCGAAGGCGGCUCUCUGGGACGGUACUGACGCUGAGACGCGAAAGCGUGGGGAGCGAACAGG
rnacentral:rRNA from 1 species